UUUUUCACUCGGUCCCCCUUUAAUCUCGGAUCUAUAGUUACCUAAAUAAACUGAUUCUCAUAUAUAUCAAAUCUUUUCUCCCUUCUUUUUCUGGAUCUCACGCUAUUUUCAGUUUAAAAUUUUGAAAAUUUUCCUCUCUAUAAGAUGCUCCCCCUUUUUCUCAACCAUCUCUCCUUCUCUCUAAGCCUAAUUAGCCGCCAGGCACACCAGCUCCAAAGUCUCACACCAUACCAGGAGCACACACCUUGAACCAGUCAAGACCAUUGCACCAUCGUUGUUUGACCCACUUGAAACCUAACCCCCUCUCUCUCUCUCUCUCUCUCUCUAUUCAAACGUAGGUUGGUGGUAAGUUUCUUGAAAUGGCAUAUUUGAAUACUGAUGAUUGAAGUUUUCCGGCGAUUUGAAGUCAAAUAGGUAAUUUUUCUUUCCUCCCUUUCAAUGGCAACAUUCUGAGCAUAUUUCUUCAAUUUUUUUUGUGAAAUACUGUGUGUGUGUGUGUGUGUUUAUUCGUGAUCAUAUGUGUAUGUAUUUGCAUGUGUAUUUGUCUAAUUUUCUGUGUAUGUAUUUUUCUAAAAUAUAGGUGGAGAUCCGGUUGAUUUUGAUUGUCUGGAAGCUAGGGUUUAGUUCACCCUUUUGUUCGAUAUUCCUCUUUUUAUAUUUGCGUAUCUGAGGAAAAUUGUGGGUGUUUGAUUCACAGUUCUAUUUUUUUUUUUUUUUAAGUUUUUCAUAUGCAAAUGAAGACACAUGUUGGAUAUAUACAAAUGAUCUGACUUUUUAUGAUUUUUUUUUGUUUUCCCUGGUUUGUAGGUAAAGAUUUCAUUUUUUUUGUAGUUUUGAUGGACUGGAUGUUAUUUCGAUCAAAAGGACCACCGCCAUCACAACCCAGCAAAAUCCUAGCCUCUGUUUUUAGACAAACAUAAUCAAUGUGCCAAAGUAUGUUCCCUUUAAACCCUUACCCCUUUUCUGUUCACUCGACCCAUGUAUUUGUUCACUCAACCCAUGUAUUCAGACCCACAUAAUCAUAAAUGUUGACAUCGAACAUGCUAUUGGAGACCUCUUUCAGAUAUGAGAAAAGUUGAAGGAAAUAGAGAAACAUGAAGAUGGGGUCUACAACUGUUAGUUUAUUUUUUCUUGCAUAUUUCACAUUUUUUACUAUACAGUAUUGGAAAGGUAUAUAAGUUCCAUAUAUUCGCCGAUACUUUUAGACGAUAACAAACUAGAUGCUUUUCAUUGCUUACGUUCCGUUUGUGAACCACCAAGAGGAGUUACUUUAUUAGAUGCUUCCAAUAGAAUACUCAUUUCUUGAGAAAUGUCGAUCUUUACCUUUUUUAUUUGCAAGUUAAUAAAGUUGUGAUUUAAAAAAUGUACAAAUUUUAAUAAUGAUGUAUAGAAUUACAUAUGCCUCAAGUUUUGACAAAAAAAAAAUUAAAUAGGGAACAAGUUAUAAAUUGCUUUUGCUCUUUUCUUCUUAGUUGAAUUUUUAUUUUUUAUCUAGAAUUAUAUACGAUGUUCAUAACUUCAAAUCAUUAAUACAUGAGUAAGUUUCAAAAAUGGUCCCUAUGAUUCCAAAAUUUUUUUAGUUUUAAUACAUCUUUCCACAUCAUGAGAUAUAUUUAUGUUUGUAUUUUUGUGGUUUUUUCUUUCCAGUGCACCAAUAAAUUUAUACCUUUUAUCCAAUAGUUAACCUUUUUUUACAUUUUUCCUUUAUUUGACUAGGUUUACAGGCACAAUAUAUGGAGUUGAGGACAUAUCUCCUUAGCUCUCUUCUAAAUAGAGAUUGAUGAAGGUUGAUACUUCUUGAUUUCAGUUUAUCUAUUUGGUUAUUAAAACAACUUAGGAAACUAAAAAGGUCAAAGUUUCAAACCUCUUCUUGACAAUUUCAAGCCUACAGGGAUGAACCAACAUCCAAUGUGAGACAGGAAAAUGGUGUCUCCAUGGGAGAUCGAAUAUUACAUUUUCAUUUUGAAUUUAUAAAGUCAAAGAAACUAAUAUUUAGCUUCAAAUCUCCUCGAAUUCUUUAUAUUUUCUCGAAACUAUUAAAAAUGUGAUCUUUAAAGGCUUAAAAGAAGCCUUGAUUUUUGUGUAUGUUGUAACUCUAAAAUUUGAUCUUUGAAGUUGAAGCUUCUUAAAGAACAGAUUUGAUUCCUAAUAUGUGUUUUAAAGCUCACUUUCUUAUUGAUUUUGCUUCUUUCUGGCUGCUUCACUUUUUGAUCAUAUGAUUGUUGAUAUCGAGGCUAUGCUGAUGGAACUGGAAUAUAUAAAGAUCAGAUAGGCUAUAAACCACCGAAUUAAUGAUGUAAUAACUAUUUUUCAUGUUUAUUUGAUUUACCAAUGUAUGAGAAACUACCCACUCUAUUUGACUCAGGUGGCAUUAGAGGCCUUAGAGGCCAAGGGAUUUCAGUUGCUUUUGUCCAAAGGAGAAGAGGAUUUGGUUGUUGACUUGACUUCUAGAAUGCUAUGAUAAUCCUAAAAAUAGUAUUUCUUCUUUCACUUGAUCUUUCUUUUUCCUUGAUGUAGAAGGAGAAUGUGAUAAUGAUAACAAUUUGGAACAAAUGAUACAAAUGUAUAGUUUCUAAAUUGUAACCAAAUUUGUCAUUUAACUGUUUUGGGUUUUCAAUUUGAAUAUUUUUAUCUUUAAUAUGGGUUCAUUUGGGAAUCCAUCUUACUACCUUUUUAUUAACAAAAGUUUUCUGUAGGAUCAGUAACCUGGAGACAAUGACUCAUGAAAUUUACAAAUAGGUAGUGGACUUGAAGCAACGAAAGAGGGAUUCAUAUUCUACAUUUCUACUUCAUGUUUUGAUCUGUUUCACAGGUCUCCUCCAGUAAACAUCCAUUUCCUUUAUUUUUCAAAGUACAUUGGUUAGAAGUGUUGUUCAUUUUGUGAUAGGAGUUGAUAGUAAUUGUGAUAUUGACAAUGUUAUCUUAUUUUCCCUUUUUCAAUUUAGAUGUUCGACCUAUCAUGGUUCAGAUAUGACCAAGAAAGCCAUCCCGAUGAGUGAACCUAAUUAGGAAUUCCAGCAAGAAAACAUGAAAAAGACUGAAUUUAGGAUUUUGUUUUUUUGUUUUCUUACUAUAACAGAAAGAGUGUAAACUAUGAUGUUAAAAAUAGACAAAUAAAUGCAAGUAUGUUGUUAUUUCUAUCAUAUAUUUUUAAUAGUUUUGAGUUGCUUCUCAGAUGAUUAUUUCCAUGUAUCGUAUUUGUUAUCUCUGUACCAUUUUUGGAGUGGUUCGCUAUCUAAUUGCAAUUCUUAAAUUUACUUGAUU
rnacentral:lncRNA from 1 species